AAUAGAUACCCGGUAGUCCACGCCGUAAACGAUGGAUGCUAGCUGUUAUGCGUAUCGACCCGUGUAGUAGCGAAGCUAACGCGUUAAGCAUCCCGCCUGGGGAGUACGAACGCAAGUUUAAAACUCAAAGGAAUUGACGGGGACCCGCACAAGCGGUGGAGCGUGUUCUUUAAUUCGAGGCUAAGCGAAGAACCUUACCAGGGCUUGACAUCCUUGGAAUUUCUCCGAAAGGAGAGAGUACUUUAUUGGACCAAGUGACAGGUGCUGCAUGGCCGUCGUCAGCUCGUGUCGUGAGAUGUUUGGUUAAGUCCAUUAACGAGCGCAACCCUUAUGAAUAGUUGUAUUUUUCUAUUCAGACUGCCCCGGUAACGGGGAGGAAGGGGGGAUGAUGUCAGGUCAGUAUUGCCCUUACGCCCUGGGCUAGAAACGCGCUACAAUGGCCGGUACAAUGCGCUGCCAACCCGCGAGGGGGAGCAAAUCGCAUCAAAGCCGGUCCCAGUUCGGAUAAGAGGCUGAAACUCGCCUCUUUGAAGCCGGAAUCGCUAGUAAUCGU
rnacentral:rRNA from 1 species